rnacentral:rRNA from 1 species
GAUGAACGCUGGCGGCGUGCCUAAUACAUGCAAGUCGAGCGAACGGACGAGAAGCUUGCUUCUCUGAUGUUAGCGGCGGACGGGUGAGUAACACGUGGAUAACCUACCUAUAAGACUGGGAUAACUUCGGGAAACCGUAGCUAAUACCGGAUAAUAUUUUGAACCGCAUGGUUCAAAAGUGAAAGACGGUCUUGCUGUCACUUAUAGAUGGAUCCGCGCUGCAUUAGCUAGUUGGUAAGGUAACGGCUUACCAAGGCAACGAUGCAUAGCCGACCUGAGAGGGUGAUCGGCCACACUGGAACUGAGACACGGUCCAGACUCCUACGGGAGGCAGCAGUAGGGAAUCUUCCGCAAUGGACGAAAGCCUGACGGAGCAACGCCGCGUGAGUGAUGAAGGUCUUCGGAUCGUAAAACUCUGUUAUUAGGGAAGAACAUAUAUGUAAGUAACUGUGCACAUCUUGACGGUACCUAAUCAGAAAGCCACGGCUAACUACGUG